rnacentral:rRNA from 1 species
GAUGAACGCUGGCGGCGUGCCUAAUACAUGCAAGUCGAGCGAACAGACGAGGAGCUUGCUCCUCUGACGUUAGCGGCGGACGGGUGAGUAACACGUGGAUAACCUACCUAUAAGACUGGGAUAACUUCGGGAAACCGGAGCUAAUACCGGAUAAUAUAUUGAACCGCAUGGUUCAAUAGUGAAAGACGGUUUUGCUGUCACUUAUAGAUGGAUCCGCGCCGCAUUAGCUAGUUGGUAAGGUAACGGCUUACCAAGGCAACGAUGCGUAGCCGACCUGAGAGGGUGAUCGGCCACACUGGAACUGAGACACGGUCGAGACUCCUACGGGAGGCAGCAGUAGGGAAUCUUCCGCAAUGGGCGAAAGCCUGACGGAGCAACGCCGCGUGAGUGAUGAAGGUCUUCGGAUCGUAAAACUCUGUUAUUAGGGAAGAACAAAUGUGUAAGUAACUAUGCACGUCUUGACGGUACCUAAUCAGAAAGCCACGGCUAACUCCGUG